rnacentral:lncRNA from 1 species
GAUGGACAAAAAUUGGCUUUUAAUUUUGUUUUUAAUUCAUUUUAAUAACUAAAUGACCAAAAUACCCUUAAUGAAAAACUUUGGAAACAUGCCUAGCCAUUUCUCAUUUUUGUCCACCAACUUAACCAAUGGUCUAAUUACCAUAUAAAGACCUCCAAUUUAAAAUUUCAUAAGAAUUGGGCACCUCUAACAUAUAGAACUCAACUUUUGCACUUUUUACAAUUUAGUCCUUUUGACUAAACUGAGUGCC